CUGCUAUAAGAGGUCCAGCCUGCCCAGUGACAAAGUUAAACGGCCGCGGUACCCUAACCGUGCAAAGGUAGCGCAAUCACUUGUUCUUUAAAUGAGGACUAGUAUGAAUGGCAUCACGAGGGUUAUACUGUCUCCCCCAUCUAAUCAGUGAAACUGACCCUCCCGUGAAGAAGCGGGAAUAAAAAUAUAAGACGAGAAGACCCCAUGGAGCUUCAAACCCAACAUCAACUGCUUAAAUUUUACAACAUCCAAAUCCAACAGCCCUGAUGAUUGGUUUUCGGUUGGGGUGACCGCGGAGUAAAACGAAACCUCCGCGAUGAAAGGGACCCUUCCCUAAUCCAAGAGCUACAGCUCUAAGAAUCAAUAAAUUGACACACUUGACCCAAAUAUUUUUGAUCAACGAACCAAGUUACCCUGGGGAUAACAGCGCAAUCCAUUUCAAGAGCCCCUAUCGACAAAUGGGUUUACGACCUCGAUGUUGGAUCAGGGUAUCCAAGUGGCGCAGCCGCUACUAACGGUUCGUUUGUUCAACGAUUAAAACCCU
rnacentral:rRNA from 1 species